CCCUUAGAUGUUCUGGGCCGCACGCGCGCUACGAUGGUCUUCGCAAACGGAUGCAUUCUCGAAGGAGAAUGCCAAUCUUGGAAUCUAUGCCUUGGUCGGGACAGUUGCUUGCAAUUUUUCGACUCGAACCAGGAAUUCCUUGUAAUCGUGAUUCAUCACAUCACGAUGAAUACGUCCCUGCCCUUUGUACACACCGCCCGUCGCUCCUACCGAUCGAAGAGUUAGGUGAAUUGUUUUGAUCGAUAAGAUUUGACUAUGGUCAACUCUCGUUGUGAAAUUCUGUGAAUCUGACUGUUUAGAGGAAGGAAAAGUCGUAACA
rnacentral:rRNA from 1 species